CCCCAGCCAGCACAUUGAAGAGGAGUUGAAGUCUGCAGGUCCUAACAUUGCCAGGGUUGGACAUCCACUAGGCAAAUAAGAACCAACCUAUGGUGACUUUGGGCCAAUCACCAGGAGACGUUUGAGAUGCAAACAACACAGACUCAUCCCCAACAGCCAGCGCCUGUCCUGCAGCCAAGAAGGCUCCACACCCAUUGGCACCACUGCAAGCGAUAUAAAUCCUUCCCUUCCCCACCAUCCAGCCAGAGCUGAAGAAGCUUCUUGGAAGAGAAGUGAAAGGUCUUCAAAGAAAAACAGGAAAGUCCAGCUGCUUCCUGAAAAAGCACCUUUGAGACGAUCAUGAUCUGGAUGAUGGAGAAUCACCAUCAGAGGUGGCGCCAGCCUCCAUGCUUUGCUGGCUGGGGGAUUCUGGGAGUUGAAGUCCAUCAGGCUUAAAGGUGCCAAGGUUGGAGAGCCCUGCUUGGGGGGGGGUGUUGUUUUUUAUUAUUAUUAUUUAAUUCAUACAUAUUAAAUAAAUAGGAAAUGUAAUAAAUAAAUACGAGGAAUUUCAUGGCGGCCGUAUGUGUGAUCUCUGGAUGAAAAGAUGCAAUGCUCCUUAUUUUGUUUUACUUA